CCCUUAGAUGUUCUGGGCCGCACGCGCGCUACACUGAUGCAUUCAACGAGUCUAAAACCUGCUCUGAUAGGGGUGGGUAAUCUUUUGAAUGUGCAUCGUGAUUGGGAUAGAUGAUUGCAAUUUUUCAUCUUCAACGAGGAAUGCCUAGUAAACGCAAGUCAUCAGCUUGCAUUGAUUACGUCCCUGCCCUUUGUACACACCGCCCGUCGCUCCUACCGAUUGAAUGAUCCGAUGAAUAUCAUGGAUUGAGGAUGCAAGCAGGUUCGCCUGUCUUCAUCUUCGAGAAGUGAAGUAAAUCUUAUCAUUUAGAGGAAGGAGAAGUCGUAACC
rnacentral:rRNA from 1 species